rnacentral:lncRNA from 12 species
CUUGCCCACAGGAGAUGCUCAGGGAAAAGCUGAAUUUUGGAACAGCUGGGAGCAGGAUCAGCCACAUCUGCCUGGAAUCUGUGUGAGAUUCCAGAGCUCUGCCCAUCCUCCAACUCCUCUGGAAGUGGAGCUGUUUUCUGUCCCAGCUGGCUGCUCAGAUAAGACCCCAGGACAGAUAAAAAAAUUCUUCCCCUUCUCCUCCCUCAUUUGGGGCAGCAGAGAAAGACGUGAAAUUGUCCCCAAAACCCCUCCCCGUGCAGAGGUGAGGGGGGAGAUGAAGCCAAAAAUGAGGAUUUGGAGCCAAAGUGACUCCAGCAGGGCCUGAGACCAGGAGAAGUUCAAAAAUAGCAUUUUUGACUGCUGGAAAAACAACAGCCCUAUAAUUUCCAGGUAAUUACUGGGGUAUAAUUAGCUGGGCUGGUUUCACGUGAGCCAUCAGAAAUAACUCUGGAGCUCAGCUUCAUUUGCAGCUUUGUUCCCAUGACUCAGGGGGUGCUGGAAGAAGGAUU